CAUUUCUUAGGGGGAAGAAGAACACAAGCAAAAACCUAACCCUCACUUUAAUUUCAAAUCCAUGUAACUUUUGAUCCAGAGCUCCGAUUGACGAACCGUUUGCGACCACGCGUUCACCGUGACGAGCUCUACGAAACCCAUGGAACAAUUUGGUUCAAGUUAGCUUCCGGAACUUGUGGGCUCAAGCUAUUGAGCAUAUGGGUAUGGUGUAGAUUAAGUGGGUAUAUAUGCAUUGGGAAUAUUUAGAGGCUUGUUGGUGAUCAAAGCUUAGUUUGUGGCUAUUUUACUUGAGCUUGAAGAGGCUGUAAUUUUGUGUUGAAAAGCUGCCUUGGGUGAAUUAAGUGAUCGGCCAAGAUGCAGGUUGAGAGACUCCUCGCUAGGCGUCUGGAUUCUGGAAAGCGAAGUAGUUCUUGGGUGUAUUUUGGGUUCUAUUUGUAUAUAUGUAAAUAUAUGUGUAGCUUACUCUCCAAGUAACUUAUGUAUGCUGCUCCUCUUAGAGGUUGAGGGAGAGAUAGGAGUUUACUUUGGUAUUUUGGUAUAUUUUGGGGACACUUAUGUAUGUUUAUAUGUAUAUAUGUAUCCUCCGGCCAGCCUUAGCUUCGCAGGCUGAGUCAGAGGCUAGUUAUGCUGUUCCUUGGCUUUUCUUUAUCCCUUCGUUUAUUGUUCUAUCAUAUUCCUAUUAG